AUUGAACGCUGGCGGCAUGCCUUACACAUGCAAGUCGAACGGCAGCACGGGAGCAAUCCUGGUGGCGAGUGGCGAACGGGUGAGUAAUAUAUCGGAACGUGCCCAGUCGUGGGGAUAACGUAGCGAAAGCUACGCUAAUACCGCAUACGAUCUAUGGAUGAAAGCGGGGGGAUCGCAAGACCUCGCGCGAUUGGAGCGGCCGAUAUCAGAUUAGGUAGUUGGUGAGGUAAAGGCUCACCAAGCCGACGAUCUGUAGCUGGUCUGAGAGGACGACCAGCCACACUGGGACUGAGANACGGCCCAGACUCCUACGGGAGGCAGCAGUGGGGAAUUUUGGACAAUGGCGCAAGCCUGAU
rnacentral:rRNA from 1 species